UACAGAGGAGCCAAGCGUUGUCCGGAUUGACUGGGCGUAAAGCGCACGCAGGCGGGUGCGCGCGUGGGGUGUGAAAUCUGGCCGCUUAACGGCCAGGCGCCAUCCCAUACGGCGCGCCUGGAGGGCUGCAGAGGUCGAUGGAAUUGCCGGUGGUAGUGGUGAAAUGCGUAGAGAUCGGACAGGAACACCCAGGGGGAAACCAGUCGACUGGGCAGCACCUGACGCUGAGGUGCCGAGAGCGUGGGGAGCGAACCGG
rnacentral:rRNA from 1 species